rnacentral:rRNA from 1 species
CCUACGGGAGGCAGCAGUGAGGAAUAUUGGACAAUGGGCGCAAGCCUGAUCCAGCCAUGCCGCGUGCAGGAAGAAGCAUCUAUGGUGUGUAAACUGCUUUUGUACGGGAAGAAACACUGCUACGUGUAGCAGCUUGACGGUACCGUAAGAAUAAGGAUCGGCUAACUCCGUGCCAGCAGCCGCGGUAAUACGGAGGAUCCAAGCGUUAUCCGGAAUCAUUGGGUUUAAAGGGUCCGUAGGCGGUUUGGUAAGUCAGUGGUGAAAGCCCAUCGCUUAACGAUGGAACGGCCAUUGAUACUGCCAGACUUGAAUUACUAGGAAGUAACUAGAAUAUGUAGUGUAGCGGUGAAAUGCUUAGAUAUUACAUGGAAUACCAAUUGCGAAGGCAGGUUACUACUAGUUUAUUGACGCUGAUGGACGAAAGCGUGGGGAGCGAACAGGAUUAGAUACCCUGGUAGUCCACGCCGUAAACGAUGGAUACUAGCUGUUCGGGGUAACCUGAGUGGCUAAGCGAAAGUGAUAAGUAUCCCACCUGGGGAGUACGUUCGCAAGAAUGAAACUCAAAUGAAUUGACGG